rnacentral:rRNA from 1 species
CCUACGGGUGGCAGCAGUGAGGAAUAUUGGUCAAUGGCCGUAAGGCUGAACCAGCCAAGUAGCGUGAGGGAAGACUGCCCUAUGGGUUGUAAACCUCUUUUAUGCGGGGAUAAAGGUGUCCACGUGUGGAUGUUUGCAGGUACCGCAUGAAUAAGGACCGGCUAAUUCCGUGCCAGCAGCCGCGGUAAUACGGAGGAUCCGAGCGUUAUCCGGAUUUAUUGGGUUUAAAGGGUGCGUAGGCGGCCUUUUAAGUCAGCGGUGAAAGUCUGUGGCUCAACCAUGAGAGUGCGGCGCGAACUGGAGACCUUGAGUGCGCGGAAGGCAGGCGGAAUUCGUGGUGUAGCGGUGAAAUGCUUAGAUAUCACGAAGAACCCCGAUUGCGAAGGCAGCCUGCCGCAGCGUUACUGACGCUGAAGCUCGAAAGCGCGGGUAUCGAACAGGAUUAGAUACCCGGGUAGUC